UACGUAGGGGGCAAGCGUUGUCCGGAAUUAUUGGGCGUAAAGAGCGCGUAGGCGGUCCGAUAAGUCGGCUGUGAAAGUCCAGGGCUCAACCCUGGAAAGCCGGCCGAUACUGUCGGACUAGAGUCCGGAAGAGGCGAGUGGAAUUCCCGGUGUAGCGGUGAAAUGCGCAGAUAUCAGGAAGAACACCCGUGGCGAAGGCGGUUCUCUGGGACGGUACUGACGCUGAGACGCGAAAGCGUGGGGAGCGAACAGG
rnacentral:rRNA from 1 species